rnacentral:rRNA from 1 species
CUUUUUAAAAAAAGGGCGGCGUAAGCUGUCGCUAUGGGAUGGCCCCGCGGUGCAUUAGCUAGUUGGUAAGGUAAAGGCUUACCAAGGCGAUGAUGCAUAGCCCGAGUUGAGAGACUGAUCGGGCCACAUUGGGGACUGAGACACGGGGCCCAAACUCCUACGGGGGGAGGGGGCAGCAGUAGGGGGAAUCUUCCACAAUGGACGCAAGUCUGAUGGAGCAACGCCGCGUGAGUGAAGAAGGUUUUCGGAUCGUAAAGCUCUGUUGUUGGUGAAGAAGGAUAGAGGUAGUAACUGGCCUUUAUUUGACGGUAAUCAACCAGAAAGUCACGGCUAACUACGUGCCAGCAGCCGCGGUAAU